GACGAACGCUGGCGGCGUGCUUAACACAUGCAAGUCGAACGGAAAGGCCCUGCUUUUGUGGGGUGCUCGAGUGGCGAACGGGUGAGUAACACGUGAGUAACCUGCCCUUGACUUUGGGAUAACUUCAGGAAACUGGGGCUAAUACCGGAUAGGAGCUCCUGCUGCAGGGUGGGGGUUGGAAAGUUUCGGCGGUUGGGGAUGGACUCGCGGCUUAUCAGCUUGUUGGUGGGGUAGUGGCUUACCAAGGCUUGGGCGGGUAGCCGGCCUGGGAGGGUGACCGGCCACAUUGGGACUAAGAUACGGCCCAGACUCCUACGGGAGGCAGCGGUGGGGAGUAUUGCCCAGUGGGCGGAAGCCUGAUGCAGCAGCGCCGCGUGCGGGAUGACGGCCUUCGGGUUGUAAACCGCUUUCGCCUGUGACGAAGCGUGAGUGACGGUAAUGGGUAAAGAAGCACCGGCUAACUACGUG
rnacentral:rRNA from 1 species